rnacentral:tRNA from 1 species
GGGUUAUUAGCUCAGUAGGUAGAGCAUCUCGCUUACAUCGAGGUGGUCAGCGGUUCAAAUCCGUUAUAACCCA